AAUGUUACACAUAUAUUUCGUAUUAGUUUUUUGGGUUAACGGCGAGUUAUUGGUGAACUUCAAGUGUUUUUCAUCAAUUGACCAUCAAAACGGCUUUAAUCGUACGACAUCAUACUAUAAUACCUAUACACCUUUUUGUGGCCAGUCCCCUAUACUUCUCCUAUCGUUCGUUAUCAGUUUUAUAUAUCUUAGUCAUUGAUAGGCACUGU